rnacentral:tRNA from 1 species
GGUAAAGAAAGGAUUUGAACCAAUAUAAGUAAGUUUACAGCCUACCGCCUACUACUCGGCCACUUUACC